CUGGAGAGUCCCAGACCCUUCUGACGUGGUCAAGCUCAAAGUAGAGGCAGCAAAGAGGGAUUUGAUUGAGUAAGUUCAAAAGAGGGUACGUCCCACACAAGUGGGGCGAGUCCGGAAUGCACAUAAACGAAAAAAGCCAAACUUGACCUUUCCGAUUGUAAUCUAAAAUAUCUCUACUCUGAAACUCCCACGGAGAGCAAGGUAGACGGGCGGCCCACGUGGCACCUGUCACAUGGUGGGAUGCCAUUCCAUUAAAAUACUCUGUUACUAACGUCUCUUUUUGCAAGUCCUCCGGUUUCCGUCUCAGCCUCACCUCAAACAUCGGGCAGAUGAGGGCUAUGCACUCUGUCUUGCCCGAGUUUACAACAGGAUUGCUUCUAUCAGAUCUAAAACUAAAGGCCACAAGAGCAGCUACUCAUUGCGGGAAGGCGCACACCUUGUCAAAGAUAAAAUGAAAGCCAGGGAAAGCACGCCAACUUGGACAGAGGCGGACCCAUGGGCCCGCCACCUUCAAGGGCACAACUUCCUAGGAAGCUCUUUCCUCAAAGUCAAAGUGGGAACCCCAGAUCAUUAUGCAACCGCGGUGGACGCAUAAAGCAGGCAUUUCCAGCGGCGACAAAAGCCGGGGGGAUCCGGCACCAACUACCUUCCACCCUACGUUCAUUCAAACCCUCAGGACAAGUGCAGCUUAUCCCGUCCACAGGUGCGACGGAACACAUUGGGGUCCGUCCCUAAGGAGCCACAGCAGCCCCCAGCCAGCCAGAUCUGUUCUCUGUCUCCGGUGCGCCACGAGAUCCCCAUGACCAGUGCCACUCACCUGCAGCCACGGUCACCUGGGCAAGGAGGCAGCCGAGAAAGGAAACUCCGAGACCCCGAAAGGGGUGACUCACCCGUGAUUCAACCGCGCCGCUGAGCACCGAGCUGCCCCUUCGGCCCAGGCGGAUCCAGGUGCUGCAGAGACCCAGGCUGUCCCGCCGAUCCCUGGAUGACCAGCCUGAGUGGCUUUCGAAGAAGAAAGGAGUCGCGUUGGAGGGACCUGAGUUGAAAGUCAAGGGAGCCUUACUUUCCCUGUGUUUUCCAUGUAGUCUGCGCCCCUAGCAGAAGAUGGAUCAGGGUCCCUGGACCUUUCUGAAUAGAUCAGGGCAGUUCUAGGCCCUGCCUGAGCACCCAGUAGUUAGCAGAACAUUCGGCCAGUCCCUUGGUACAUUGUGCAGGGCGGUGCAGUAAAUACACGUGUCUGCCAUGGACAAGUGCCCUGGAUUAGAUCUAAAGGCCACUUGGCAUCCCCUCCCCAUACCCACCCCGUCCAGGUUCCCGUUCCCAGCUUCCGAGGGUGACUGAGGGACUGCAGCUUAAAGCCUGGGAGAAUUUGAGCAUGACUUCUGUAGCCAGGGGGUUCCAGGAAGGAUGGUUCUCACGUUGAGGAAGACAGCUGUGGGUUUAGAGGGAAUUCCUCCCAAAUACAGAGAAACAAAAAAUGAAACCGAAAAAUAAAUAACAUUCGGACUUCCA